GUCCACGCCGUAAACGAUGUUGACUAGGUGUCGGGAGAAUUGACCCUUUCGGCGCCGCAGCUAACGCAUUAAGUCAACCGCCUGGGGAGUACGGUCGCAAGACUAAAACUCAAAGGAAUUGACGGGGGCCCGCACAAGCGGUGCAGUAUGUGGUUUAAUUCGACGCAACGCGAAGAACCUUACCUGGAUUAGAAAUCAACUGGAAGUUCUGUAGAGAUAUGGGACGUCCCCGCAAGGGGACCGGUUGACAGGUGCUGCAUGGCUGUCGU
rnacentral:rRNA from 1 species